UACGUAGGGUGCAAGCGUUGUCCGGAAUUAUUGGGCGUAAAGAGCUCGUAGGCGGUCUGUCGCGUCUGCUGUGAAAACUCAGGGCUUAACCCUGAGCUUGCAGUGGGUACGGGCAGACUAGAGUGUGGUAGGGGAGUCUGGAAUUCCUGGUGUAGCGGUGAAAUGCGCAGAUAUCAGGAGGAACACCGGUGGCGAAGGCGGGACUCUGGGCCGAUACUGACGCUGAGGAGCGAAAGCGUGGGGAGCGAACAGG
rnacentral:rRNA from 1 species